rnacentral:rRNA from 1 species
CCUACGGGCGACAGCAGUGAGGAAUAUUGGUCAAUGGGCGCGAGCCUGAACCAGCCAAGUAGCGUGAAGGAUGACUGCCCUACGGGUUGUAAACUUCUUUUAUAAAGGAAUAACGUGAGUCACGUGUGCCUUUUUGUAUUUACUUUAUGAAUAAGGAUCGGCUAACUCCGUGCCAGCAGCCGCGGUACUACGGAGGCUCCGGUCGUUAUCCGGAUUUAUUGGGUUUAAAGGGAGCGUAGAUGGGUUGUUAAGUCAGUUGUGAAAGGUUGCGGCUCAACCGUAAAAUUGCAAUGGAUACUGGCAGUCUUGAGUACAGUUGAGGUAGGCGGAAUUCGUGGUGUAGCGGUGAAAUGCUUAGAUAUCACGAAGAACUCCGAUUGCGAAGGCAGCUUACUAAACUGCCACUGACAUUGAUGCUCGAAAGUGUGGGUAUCAAACAGGAUUAGAUACACGGGUAGUC